rnacentral:lncRNA from 1 species
AGCUCCACAACCCUCAAACCAGAUCAAGAUCUCUCCUCCCUGGGUCGCCAGCUUCCUGACCUUCAAACAACAGGAACAUUGCUCCUCCCUGGGUCAGCAGNNNNNNNNNNCUGCAGCUCCACAACCCUCGAACUAAAACAAGACCUCUCCUCCCUGGCUCGCCAGCUUCCUGACCCUCGAACUACAACAACAUUGCUCCUCCCUGGGUCAGCAGCUCCACGACCCUCAGACUCAAACAAGACUUCUCUUCCGCGGGUUGUCAGCUACCGGACUCUCGAAUUACAACAACAUUGCUCCUCCCUGGGUCAGCAGCUCCACGACCCUCAGACCAGAUCAAGACCUCUCCUCCCUGGGUCACCAGCUUCCAGACCCUCGAACUACAACAAAAUUGCUCCUCCCUGGGUCGGCAGCUCCACGACCCUCAAACUCCAACAAGACUUCUCCUCCCCGGGUUGCCAGCUGCCGGACCCUCAAAUUACAACAACAUUGCUCCUCCCUGGGUCAGCAGCUCCACGACCCUGAAACUAGAACAAGACCUCUCCUCCCUGGGUCACCAGCUUUCUGACCCUCGAACUAUAACAACAAUGCUGCUGCCUGAGUCUGCAGCUCCACGACCCUCAAACUAGAACAAGACGUCUCCUCCCUAAGUCUCCAGCUUCCGGAUCCUCGAAUUGCAACAACGUUGCUCCUGCCUGGGUCUUCAGCUCCACAAAAAUCAAGCUAGAACAAGACCUCUCCUCCCUGGGUCGCCAGCUUCCUGACCCUCAAACUACAGCAAAAUGCCCCCUCCCUGGGUCAGCAGCUCCACGACCCUCAAACUACAACAAGACCUCUCCUCCCUGGGUCGCCAGCUUCUGGACCCUCAAACUACAACAAAAUUGCUCCUCCCUGGGUCGGCUUCUCCACAACCCUCAAACUUGAACAAGACGUCUCCUCCUCGGGUUGCCAGCUUCCAGACCCUCAAAUUACAACAAUAUUGCUCCUCCCUGGGUCUGCAGCUCCACGACCCUCAGACCAGAUCAAGACCUCUCCUCCCUGGGUCACCAGCUUCCAGACCCUCGAAUUACAACAAUAUUCCUCCUCCCUGGGACUGCAGCUCCACGACCCUCAGACUAGUACAAGACCUCUCCCUGGGUCACCAGCUUCCAGACCCUCGAUCGAACUACAACAAAAUUGCUCCUUGCUGGGUCAGCAGCUCCACGACCCUGAAACUAGAACAAGACUUCUCCUCCCUGGGUCGCCAGCUUCCUGACCCUCGAACUACAACAAAAUUGCUCCUCCCUGGGUCGGCAGCUCCACGACCCUCAAACUCCAACAAGACUUCUCCUCCCCAGGUUGCCAGCUGCCGGACCCUCGAAUUACAACAACAUUGCUCCUCCCUGGGUCUGCAGCUCCACGACCCUCAGACUAGUACAAGACCUCUCCCUGGGUCACCAAAUUCCAGACCCUUGAACUACAACAAAAUUGCUCCUCGCUGGGUCGGCUGCUCCACAACCCUCAGACUAGUACAAGACCUCUCCCUGGGUCACCAAAUUCCAGACCCUUGA